UGCCAGCAGCCGCGGUAAUACAGAGGGUGCAAGCGUUAAUCGGAAUUACUGGGCGUAAAGCGUACGUAGACGGUUGGAUAAGUCGGAUGUGAAAGCCCCGGGCUCAACCUGGGAAUUGCAUUCGAGACUGUGCAGCUAGGGUGCGGAAGAGGGAAGCGGAAUUUCCGGUGUAGCGGUGAAAUGCGUAGAUAUCGGAAGGAACACCAGUGGCGAAAGCGGCUUCCUGGUCCAGCACCGACGUUCAGGUACGAAAGCAUGGGGAGCAAACAGGAUUAGAUACCCUGGUAGUCCAUGCCAUAAACGAUGAGAACUAGACGUUGAGAGGGUAAGCCUCCCAGUGUCGUAGCUAACGCGCUAAGUUCUCCGCCUGGGGAGUACGGCCGCAAGGUUGAAACCCAAAGGAAUUGACGGGGACCCGCACAAGCGGUGGAGCAUGUGGUUUAAUUCGAUGCAACGCGAAGAACCUUACCUGGCCUUGACAUCCCAGGAACCCUGAAGAGAUUCGGGGGUGCCGCAAGGAGCCUGGAGACAGGUGCUGCAUGGCUGUCGUCAGCUCGUGUCGUGAGAUGUUGGGUUAAGUCCCGCAACGAGCGCAACCCUUGUCCUUAGUUGCCAGCAUU
rnacentral:rRNA from 1 species